rnacentral:lncRNA from 1 species
UCAGCCUGUUGAUGAUUAUGCUAAUUGAUAUAAUUGUAUAUAAAUUAAUCAUUAAUAAAAUAUUAUUUGAUAGUUUUUCAUCAUAAGCUUGUGCAUCUUCUAUUUUGAACUUCAGUGUUAUGAUGAAAGUCCUUAGGACUAUUUUAAAUCGAUAAAGAUGGAUUUAUUCUUUAGUCCUUAAAUAAGUUUGCGAUCAAAUGAUAUGCUACUAUUAGGAUGAUAGCUAUAUCAAGUGUAGAUCGUUGUGUACCAUAAAAAUUGAUUGUCCUCUUAACCAAAGAGUGUGGAGAUACUGAUAUGGCAUGC